rnacentral:rRNA from 1 species
GACGAACGCUGGCGGCGUGCUUAACACAUGCAAGUCGAACGGAAAGGCCCUGCUUUUGUGGGGUGCUCGAGUGGCGAACGGGUGAGUAACACGUGAGUAACCUGCCCUUGACUUUGGGAUAACUUCAGGAAACUGGGGCUAAUACCGGAUAGGAGCUCCUGCUGCAUGGUGGGGGUUGGAAAGUUUCGGCGGUUGGGGAUGGACUCGCGGCUUAUCAGCUUGUUGGUUGGGUAGUGGCUUACCAAGGCUUUGACGGGUAGCCGGCCUGAGAGGGUGACCGGCCACAUGGGGACUGAGAUACGGCCCAGACUCCUACGGGAGGCAGCAGUGGGGAACAUUGCACAAUGGGCGGAAGCCUGAUGCAGCAACGCCGCGUGCGGGAUGACGGCCUUCGGGUUGUAAACCGCUUUCGCCUGUGACGAAGCGUGAGUGACGGUAAUGGGUAAAGAAGCACCGGCUAACUACGUG